GGGGAACAGAGAUCCCAUCUCACCCCCCAAAAAAAGAGCAAUAUCCUCCGAGGGACACCAGGGAUCCCCCCAGAAACAAUAGGAACCCCCCUGGGAAAAGCAGGGAUCCCCUUCAUAGGGGUAACGGCCACAUGCGGGGCGCAGGGACCCCUUCUGUACCCCCCUAAAGUGGCAGUGACCCCCGAGGGACCCCCGAGGGACACCAGAGGCCCCCCCGGGGUCAGACGGUCCCCUCCCCAAGACGCGGUUACCGCACAGCGCAACCGGGCCCCCCAACAGGGGCCCGCAGGAGCCUCGGGGCCCAUUAGGCCUCAGGCGGGGGGGGGAAGGGGGAGCAGGCCGCAAACCUGGGCCCAACCGCUACCGGGAGGGAUAAGAGGGGAAAGAAAGACCCCUCCCCGCUCGGCGGUCCCGCACCGACCCUUUUGCUGCCGUUCCCGGCCAACGCUCAGGCGCAAGCCCCGCGCUCCCCAACUGCUCCCCCUCCGCCGGCCCCGAGCCCAAUCGUCGCCAUCUCAGUGCGCCGCCUCCAGAUGCUUUACGGCACCGCGGCGUCCUUUACGGCAGCGCGGAGCGCUUUACGGCAGCGCAUCUCCUUCUACGGCACCGCGGCGCACUUCACGGCACCGGCCGCUGUGCGACACCGCGGUACCACCCCGCUCCCCGCCCCGCCGUCGCCAUGGCAACGGAGGCCGCGCCCCCUCCCGCUGUGUUUUGGUCGGGUCGAAGGUCGCCCCGCGCGUGGCGGUGCUCUCACGUGAUCCCCUGACUUCCNACAGCUCUAUAAACACCACACAGCCACACCGGGCAGCCCGGCUGCGUGUGGGGUACGCAAAGAAGGAACAACGAGGCCAAAAAGAGAAAACAGCCCCACAGCCGAGAGCCCCUCGGCCCCAUUUCCAACCCACCCCCCACCCCGAGCUGCAGCCUCGUGGCGUUGGCGCUGCCGGUGCUCGCGCACACGUGUUGUGCCGGGUUCCUUUCAGCCUCUUCUAUUUAAGGAAAGUUCUCUCAUCGGGGCCGGACGGCGGCAGCCCGCAGUGUGGGGCAGCUCCGGGGCCAGCAGGUAGCUCAGCCCCCACAAAGCCCUGCCGACCCACAGCGCCCACCCCAAAUCCCUCCUGCGGGGCAGGGGGAGCCUCCGGUUGGCCAACACUUGGGAAAUCCCCCCUCAUGCUGAGAGAUCUGCAGAGGUUUGGACAAUUACAAAGCUCCCAGUCCCUGCUGAUGACGCUGAUUAAGCAGCUUCCCACUCACAGUUAA
rnacentral:lncRNA from 1 species